GCCAGAUACAGUGGCACAUACCUAUAAUCCCAGCUACUGGGGAGGCUGAAACUGGUAUAGAUCUCUUGAGCUCAGGAGUUCGGUGCUGUUGUGAGCUAAGCCCGAUUGGUAUGUGCACUAAUCAUGGCAUUAAUAUGGUGAGCCCUCUGGGAAUGGGGUCCACCAGUUUCCCUAAGAGGGACACACAAGGCCCAGAUCGGAAAACAGGGCAGGUCAAAGCUCCUGUGUCAAUCAGAGUGGAACCGGUCUGUGAGUAACUCUGGCAUCCAGCCUGGUUCAGAAAGAGGAAACCAGUCUUU
rnacentral:SRP_RNA from 1 species